GACCAAUAGGGAGAAGAGAACAAUUCAUGUUUGAGAGCGUUGAGAACCAAGGCCCAGAGAGGGAAAGUGAUUUGCCCAAGGCCCCUCGGCAAGUCUGGUGGUAAGGCAUAGAAUGAACUCCCCUUGUCUCCUGAUUCCCAGUCCUGGUUCUUUUCUGCAAACCACUGAGAAAAUGUCCAUAAACCUGCAGGCUGGGGACUAAGCAGAGGGUCCUUCACUCUUCUGGGUGCUUCCUGCCCUCCCCGUGGGUACCAGCAAUUCACGCUUUAUCCGGGAGGCCUCCAGGCUGCAGGAUGGGCUGCCUCUCGACUGGGCUGCGCUGAGUCUUCCUUUCGGAGAAGGCAAUGGCACCCCACUCCAGUAC
ensembl:lncRNA